ensembl:lncRNA
CAGAAAUUGAGACUCAUCAGACCAGGCAACAUAUUUCCAGUCUUCAACUGUCCAAUUUUGCAUCAACAUGGCAUUUUCACCCACAGGACUGCCGCAUACUGGAUGUUUUCCCCUUUUCACACCAUUCUUUGUAAACCCUAGAAAUCCCAUUUGACGUUCAGGAGAUUGUCUUGACCAGGACCACACCCCUAACUGCAUUGAAGCAACUGCCAUGUGAUUGGUUGAUCAGAUAAUUGCAUUAAUGAGAAAUUGAACAGGUGUUCCUAAUAAUCCUUUAGCCAUGAUCUACCUCAACAGCAAAUCUGGUUUGUGAGCUCCUAUUAAGAAUAAAGGCCGUGGUCCACAACUGUACAUAUUUAAAUUCUUCUCAUAACAGCAUCUCCACAUCAGACCAAUAGUCCAGUGACUUAAGCGGCGGGACACACUGGCUGGAUUUGGACUCCUUGGGACCAUAGUUCCAGUUCCUUCUGAGCCGGACCCGUCCUCAGCCUCACAGGGGGCUCUGGUUGAGCUCCACAGCUCUGUGUGUGUUUCUACUGACGCGUGCGGGGGGGUAGAGACAGGUCGGCCGUUAGCUUGUGAAUGCCGUAUGUGUCGUAUGUGUACAGACUGUAAAGCCCCCUGAGGCAAAUUUGUAAUUUGCAAUUUUGGGCUAUACAAAAUACAAUUAAUUGAAUUUAAUUGAAUUUAAUUUAAUGUUCAAUCACUACAGAAUUCAAUUUUGGGGGGAGGUUUCUCAAAAUAAUGUACAUGCAACUCAGUUUGUGGCAGCCUUUUUUGGGCCCUAAGGCAGAG